GUGGUCAGGUAGAGAAUACCAAGGCGCUUGAGAGAACUCGGGUGAAGGAACUAGGCAAAAUGGUGCCGUAACUUCGGGAGAAGGCACGCUGAUAUGUAGGUGAAGUCCCUCGCGGAUGGAGCUGAAAUCAGUCGAAGAUACCAGCUGGCUGCAACUGUUUAUUAAAAACACAGCACUGUGCAAACACGAAAGUGGACGUAUACGGUGUGACGCCUGCCCGGUGCCGGAAGGUUAAUUGAUGGGGUCAGCGCAAGCGAAGCUCUUGAUCGAAGCCCCGGUAAACGGCGGCCGUAACUAUAACGGUCCUAAGGUAGCGAAAUUCCUUGUCGGGUAAGUUCCGACCUGCACGAAUGGCGUAAUGAUGGCCAGGCUGUCUCCACCCGAGACUCAGUGAAAUUGAACUCGCUGUGAAGAUGCAGUGUACCCGCGGCAAGACGGAAAGACCCCGUGAACCUUUACUAUAGCUUGACACUGAACAUUGAGCCUUGAUGUGUAGGAUAGGUGGGAGGCUUUGAAGUGUGGACGCCAGUCUGCAUGGAGCCGACCUUGAAAUACCACCCUUUAAUGUUUGAUGUUCUAACGUGGACCCGUGAUCCGGGUUGCGGACAGUGUCUGGUGGGUAGUUUGACUGGGGCGGUCUCCUCCUAAAGAGUAACGGAGGAGCACGAAGGUUGGCUAAUCCUGGUCGGACAUCAGGAGGUUAGUGCAAUGGCAUAAGCCAGCUUGACUGCGAGCGUGACGGCGCGAGCAGGUGCGAAAGCAGGUCAUAGUGAUCCGGUGGUUCUGAAUGGAAGGGCCAUCGCUCAACGGAUAAAAGGUACUCCGGGGAUAACAGGCUGAUACCGCCCAAGAGUUCAUAUCGACGGCGGUGUUUGGCACCUCGAUGUCGGCUCAUCACAUCCUGGGGCUGAAGUAGGUCCCAAGGGUAUGGCUGUUCGCCAUUUAAAGUGGUACGCGAGCUGGGUUUAGAACGUCGUGAGACAGUUCGGUCCCUAUCUGCCGUGGGCGCUGGAGAACUGAGGGGGGCUGCUCCUAGUACGAGAGGACCGGAGUGGACGCAUCACUGGUGUUCGGGUUGUCAUGCCAAUGGCACUGCCCGGUAGCUAAAUGCGGAAGAGAUAAGUGCUGAAAGCAUCUAAGCACGAAACUUGCCCCGAGAUGAGUUCUCCCUGACCCUUUAAGGGUCCUGAAGGAACGUUGAAGACGACGACGUUGAUAGGCCGGGUGUGUAAGCGCAGCGAUGCGUUGAGCUAACCGGUACUAAUGAACCGUGAGGCUUAACCUUACAACGCCGAAGGUGUUU
rnacentral:rRNA from 2 species